AUUCUUUAUCCGGUAUUUCAAGGGCCGCCGGAGGGCUGUCGCUUCUGCAGUGCUUAGGAGCGGCCAGGGCGGGAGGCUCCGCGGAGCCGAGGCGCGGAGAAUAAGAAAGCCUGAGUUUUGUGAAAAACCAGAGAAGAGAAACUAAAAGGACAGUAGAAAAGGUUUUUCCAGUUUGCAUAAUGUAAGUUCUUUUCACUUUUCUUGGCUUGAAUCCUGCGUUAGCUGACAAAGCUGUUUCUAUGGAAACAAACAGUUUAACCUCUUAGAAUGUCAGAGGAAUGCUGAUCACUUAAAAUGAGACUUCCCAGCUGCUGGUCAAAGGGCAUUACUUGCUGGAGAAAGAGGGCAAGGAUGAAUUCAAAAAAUUCUAGAGUUCUGGACACUAGUGUAGACUGAACAUGUUUAUGCAUAUGAAGUAUAUCUCUUCUAUUUUACUCUGCCUAAAAAUUAAGAUUCUGGUAAUAUAGGAAAUUGGAUUUCUGCUGACCUGUCUUGAUUCUCAGCUCUUAAACAAACGAUUCUAUUAGUUGGUACCCUUUUCAGGGGGCCUGUACCCUUUAGGCUAUUUCAGUCCCUCCAGUCUCAAUCAUUUGCACUUGUUGUGAAGCUUAUUUAGCUUCCCAUUGCCCCCUUCUCCCGCAACCAAAACCCCUUCUCCCUUACUAGUUUGAGGUUAGCAUUGAAACAGCUUCGGCAUGCCAGCCUGAAAAUUUUUCUUGCUUUGUGGACUAUGUAAAGAUUUUUGUAUUUGUGUUCGUUUUCUGGCAGGGAUGGGAACAGGGAUUCUGAUGAGGAUUUGAAAUGUAGUCCUUUGAAGCUUUCUUUCUUUCUUAUUUUUUUUUUAAACUUAUAACUGGAAAGUUGAGAAGAAAAGAAUUAGGGCCAGUAACUGGUAACUCUGCUGUCUUCAUAAGAUGGCCUGUUAUUUACACACAAUGAGGUAAUUCUCUAGUUCAGUCAUUUACCAGCUUCUGAAUUGUCAAAGGACUUUUUUUUUUUUUUUUUUUAAAGAGAGGGAGAGUGCAAUUGCUUUGGACUGGGAGGACUUUUUCACUUUUAUGAUGUGUAUAGACUACAUGUAUGGGCUAGAGUAUUUGUGGAGUGCCUGCUUAAAAAUUAUAAUCUUAAUGCUAAAACUAUAGGAUACAGUAUAAUGUUUCUUUAAUUCUGGAAGAACUUUAGGAUCUUUCAUUGCCUUCAUUAAAUUAACUUAUGAGCAUUAUAGAGUUUUUGGAGUGUUAAAUGGUGAAGUAAUUAUUUAACAGGGUAGUCUGGAAAGAUUUCUUGUAGAAUUAGGGACUUGAGGGAGGUCUUGAAGGUAGAAAUCAAUGGAAAAGUAGUUCAUCAGUCAUUUGGGCAGAAAGAUGGGAUAGACACAAAUGACGAAGGUAAAUUAGAAGGCUCAUGCAGGUGAGUAGUAAAAGAUAUAGCUAGAAAUCUUGGAUUCAUUUUUUGAGUUUGAACUUUAUUCUCCAGAUAGUGUGAAAGCCAUCAGAAGUUCUGAACAGAGGAGUGGUUUGCUCAUAUACUUAAUUAAGCAAACACUUAGCGGGUAUCACGGCUAUAGAGGUCAACAAGACAGAUCCCUGCCAAUUAGAUAAUUUACCUGUGUGAUUUACAGUUACCUUGAAAUUAAUGUGUCUAAACCCAUAUUUCCCUUUACUUUACUUCUAUCUGAUUCUCCUAUAUUCUCCGUCAUAAUUAGUGACAUUGUCAUCUACCUAAUAAGCCAGGGAUAGUGGUUAAGAGUGAUGGUUCUGGAGUUACACUGCCUAGGUUCAUAUUCUGAAGCCUUCUGUUGUUUGGCCUUCUGCUGGGCAAUGUUACGGAUUCAGAGAUGGGUCAGCCUGGUUCCUGACUUCAAGGAGCUUCUAGUCUGAUGAGAUAGAAAGGCAGAGAUAUAAAUAGCAGUAGUCCAACUUGAUCAAGAAUGUGACAGGGAUUAUAGGAUUCCAGAGGACAAUGUAUUUGAGCUCAGACUUAAAAGGCAAAGAUUAGAUCCUAGGCAGUCUGAUUCUGGAGGCUGUUCUCUUAAACAUGCUGUCUUGGGCGACUGGAUGGAUGUAGUGACAUUAGUUAGAAUUGAAAAUGGGGAGAGGAUUAAAGAGAAUAGGAGGAGAUUAAAGGGAAAUAUGAGUUUAAUUUUGGACAUAUUUCUAGAUUCUUGUGGGAAAAAGAAAUUCUGAUAGAUAGAAUAAUGGUCAGCCGGGCACAGUGGCUCACGCCUGUAAUCCCAGCACUUUGGGAGGCCGAGGCUGGCGGAUCACGAGGUCAGGAGUUUGAGACCAGCCUGGCCAACAUGGUGAAGCCCCGUCUCUACUAAAAAUACAAAAAUUAGCUGGGCAUGGUGGUGGGUACCUGUAAUCUCAGCUACUCAGGAGGCUGAGGCAGGAGAAUUGUUUGAACCUGGGAGGUGGAGUUUGCAGUGAGCCAGGAUCGUACCAUUGCACUCAAACUGGAUGACAGAGUCUC
rnacentral:sRNA from 1 species